CCGAAUGUCUAAAGUUUGACACAGAGUAGCAAAAGCCUACAUAUAACCCCAUCUAUUUGGAUGGAGUUGAGAGGGGGCCACGUUUAAAACUCUCAAAACGUCCAUUUGAAAUUCAGAGAAAGGCAACCUAAUACAAAUCGAAGAACAAGCUAGAGUAAAAAUAAAAGAAAUCCUCUCUAGACGCUUCCCUACCAUGAAAAACCCUUUCGUCUUCCCGACACGCAACCAGUUUUAUGGCAGUACAGUAUCCCCG
rnacentral:lncRNA from 1 species